rnacentral:lncRNA from 1 species
CCAGGAGAUCCAAACUUUGUGCCUGGUCUCUCUCCACAAUUGGAAUUGGGAAAUACACAUGGGCACAGCUUACAGGUGGAAUGAUGACUCAUACCUGAAGAUAUUUUGACCUUUGUCAUCUUAGGGCAAAAACUAAGGUCCUGUGUCUUCAACUUGUAGGAUGGUCACAGAAUAUUACAACUUGCAUGCACGUUGUAUGAAGCCCUCAAGUGCUACAAAGAGUGCCAAAAUAGAGCCCAGCUAAAACUGUGGUAAAACUGUGGCUGUUGUAUGCAAACUCAAAUAAAAGUAAGGAUUAUCACCCUUCCACAUUAACAGAACCCACUGUUGAGGUUCUGAAUCGCACACCAAGAGGCAAUCAAGUUGGAAUUGUGAAUCUUAUGCAUCAAUCCAAUCGACAGAUGAGAUGAUAACACCAAGUCCAGGAUUUAGAACACCUGGGGGCUGUGCUUCCCCUAUCAAAACACAGUCUGUUGGUGAGAUUUGGGCUUUUGUGCAUCGAUUUAGUCCACUGUUGUGAUUGACUUGCAUACUUGAACUCAACCCACAAGAGGUGUUGACUCUUAUACCUUUAGCAGGAAAAUGUCCCGGCUUGUGAAUUUCUGCUAUUGACUGGGUCCAGCUGGAUCCAGGUAUGAGAGUCAUCAUCUCACCUGUGAGCUGUGACCAUGUAUAUGUCGCAAUUUCACCUGUCAGCAGGAAGCAGACAUGAGAGUCCUAUCACCUGGGUGCUGGGU